UACGGCCUCCUGUGAAAACAACCUGCACAUAUACAAUGAAUGAGAUUCUCAUAGAACUUAAGAUAUUUUCCUCCAAUGAAAAAGAAAGAUAAAAAGAAAAACAAAAACAGCAACACAAGUAAUUGAUAUUGGAAAAGCAACAGGUAAGCACAUAUCUAUUCCAAACAGAAUAAAAUGAACAUAAAACAGGAAAACCCAGCACCUAAGCAAAGUAGCUAAUCUCAUUUUCAGAAAACCAUCAAUAAGUUGGGUAAGAGCAGAGACCACCAAAUCAAACCAGCACACCAUCAGCAUCUACAAGGCACCCACUUUUCAAAAUGACUAAACUCUGCUACUUCCCAUCUCUCCAGAUGUAUUACCCAAUUUGAGGAAAGAAGGAUCAAUUUAACUUCUAAUUCCAAUAUAGCCUACAGAAUGAUGUAGACCAUGAUGCUUCAGACAGUUACAUUUCCGCCAAAAAAACAAAGCACACAAUUUAGGAUCCAAAUUCUCAGUUAUUUUGAGUUUUGAGAAUAUGCUGUGUUUUACAUCUAAGAAUAUGCCACAAAUAAGUUAAAAAAAAAAUGCUAUUCUCAGAGCAUUAAGCAAACUGAUUACAAGCCAAUUAGAUGUAUUUCAAUAUCUAGCUUUCUCACAAAUAUCUUGAUUCUCUAUCCAAGUGUAUCUACAUCUUAAAUGAAAGAACUUGACAGUUUGAAACUCCUAUAGUAAACUUGCCUCAAAAAAG
rnacentral:misc_RNA from 1 species